rnacentral:lncRNA from 1 species
AAAAUUAAAGACAAAAGCCUUAAUCCCUAAUCUCCCAAAUAUUCAGAGACACGGGCACCGUUCUUCUCCGAAGACCACCCGAAUCCAACCCCCAUUUCAGCCCAAAUCCAAGCGAGUGAGUACCAAAUCUCAAAACCACGCGUCCCUCCUUCUCUCAUCUUACCGUUCUAACGGUUUCUGACGCCAAUAUUCCCUCUCCUCUCACUCGCUCGGUUUUUGAGACCUAUCUCAUGAUUGGAAGCUUCUGGAGAUGAAAGGAUGGAUGAAUGUGAGGCGUUGGAUUGGUUUCAUUCAAUCUGAGCCCCACAUUCAUCAAGGAUUGGUCUUCAAAAGAGGCUUUAUCCCAUUUUGUGAGGGGGAGGCUAGAAUUUGAGAGAAAAAAAGUGGAAAAGAAUUUUGGAAUUUAUGGUUUAUCUGAGUGGGUUCUUUCUUCUUGGUCGAGUUAUUUUAAAAGUUUAAAAGAAACAUUAUAUACAUUUUGUGAUUUCAGAAUCCGGAUUUGAGUUCCUGGAAGAUACAAAUUGAAGUUCGAACUCUGGUUCUACUGUUGUUCUGCUGAGAUGCUGCUAAACCUCGCUCAUAUUCGAAGGCGAAAGGCGUACCGUUAAGGCUGUAGUUAUUAACACGAGUUUGCAACUUCAGGUUCGAAUCUCCUUUUCACUGUGUAACUCUGUUUUUUUAAGAAAAUGUUCUUGAGAUGUGCAUUCUGUCUCGAAUGGUUCUAUGAUUGAAUUUCCUGUUGAAUGAAUCCAUUCUCAGUGGUGUGAUGAAUUUAAGUAUGCUCAGUUAGUAAAAGAUGAAUUUGAAUGGUCGUUUUCUAUGCCUUGAAUGUUUUAGUUAUUAUUAUGGUGUUGAAGUAUCUCGUGGGUUAAGAUUUCCUCGAGUUGAAAUGGGUGAUCUGUUCGGCUUCAUGAUUGUUGAAUGAGUCGUAAUCAUCGAUGCAUAUUCUCAUGGUUUUCUGUUUGGUUCUCUGAUUUUCCAGUACGAGUACCAUUCAAUGUUAGAAUACUUAGGUCAUAAUCAAAUUGGUAGAGUCGUAUGCAUGAUUGUCGAUGUUUCAACUGGUUUGUUUUCUUCUGAAAAAUACACAGCAACUUGUUCUUUGUUUCUUCAGUUGUUAAAGGCUGAGAUAUUGCGUUAAGGAACUGAAGUUGAAGGUCUAAAUUCGAAAGGAUCACUGUAAUCUGCUGAAAUGGAUAGGUAUCUGGAAUUCAAUGUCAUGUUUGGAUCUUGUUUUGGCAUAUGUUACUCACUUAUAAGGCAACUGAUUAAUUGUGUUGAAGUUUAGCUAUUUUAGUUCCUUCAAAACAGGAUCUGAAUUGAAUUUCUUAGCUUUCUGUGUGCUGAAAUUGAUGUAGCCACGUGUAAAGAUUCUUCGUUGAUUAUAAGAUUUUGGUCAGCUCUUUCUUAAGUUCGAAAGGAAAGUUGGUUGAAAGUUGCUCUCUUAUCAAGUUUUCAUGAGACUUUUAGUACUUGUAUAGUACUUUCGACUUCAAGGUGUGAGGUUUAAUAUGGUUGAGUCUGGAUUGUUGUGAGAACAUCUUAUUUGGUUGUAAUUAUGUGACAAUCCAAAGUUGGAUUAAUAAGCUUUUAUCGCUGGAAAUGAUACCAUAAUCUCAUGAAGUUAGUUAUGUUCAAUCAACAAAAGAAAUUGGCUCUUGCUUUCUUCUAUUUGCCUCUAAUUGAUCUUGCUUUUAAACUGAUUGCUUGAAGCUGAAGUUUUAAGUUGAAAUCGUCCAACUGCUUUAAUGACAUGUCACGAAUUCAGUUUGCAUACAUACCUAGUGUCGUCCAGCAUUGCUUCCAAUAAGGAUUUCUGUUUUGUUCAAAUUUUCUUUCAGUGAAGUUAUGCACAGACUAUUCAUGAACCAAAUCAUUUUGUUGAUUCACCAUGAUGGUAGGAUCCGUUAGUUGUCCUGCAUUUCAAUGGUUAAAACAGGUUAGAAUAGGUCUAGAAGUGACAUUUGUCAAGGCAGAGUUAAGCGCUCGAAUGGUGGUUGUUGAUUUGUUAGCUUCAAGCUCGAUUCAUAUGAUUCAAAAACUAUCCGAAAUCUGUUUUGUUAAAAUAAUUUUCAG